rfam:Capsicum annuum cultivar Zunla-1 chromosome 1, whole genome shotgun sequence
AAGUACAUAGUGAAAUGCGAUACUUAAUGUGAAUUACAGAAUUUCAUGAAUCAUCAAAUUUUUGAAUGCAAAUUGCCCUGAAGCCAUUAAGAUGAGGACAUGUCUGUCUUAACAUCG